UCGUGCAUGUGUGUGAGAGAGAGAUACCCAGAUAAGUAGAGACGACGACAGUACGUGCGUGUCUGCAUGCAAGCCACCUGCGUCGUCGUCGCCGCCGCCUCCCUCCCUCCCUCCUUCCCUUCCGUGCUUUUAUCAGUCGAACACACGCAGACACCUCUAUAUUCACAUCAAAACGCCCUGGGGUUCAAAGGGCAAGAAGGCUGCCCGACGAGUUGCACGUGCGAUACACCCCCUCACCCACGCAAGAGCGUACACCUCUUCCCUUCCCCUGCCCCGUGUUGAAGGUGAACCAUGUCGAGCGAUUUGAAUCAGCAACUGGAGGCGAUGUACGAGGGGAAGCUGCUCACGGAGGAGCAGGUGGUACAGCUGUGUAGUCGUUGCAAGGACCUCAUGUUGGAGGAGGGCAACAUAGAGACCAUCUACGCCCCCGUCACGCUCUGCGGUGACAUUCAUGGCCAGUUCUACGACUUGUUGGAGCUCUUCAGCAAGGGCGGGCGAGUGCCGGAGACGUCGUAUGUUUUCAUGGGCGACUACGUCGACCGUGGCUACCACAGUGUGGAGACGCUGCUCCUGCUGCUGCUGCUGAAGGCGCGCUACCCCGAUCGCAUAACACUGUUGCGUGGUAAUCACGAGUCGCGCCAGAUCACGCAGGUGUAUGGCUUCUACGACGAGUGCUACCGCAAGUACGGCUGCGCGAACGUGUGGCGGCUGUGCACGGAGCUGUUUGACUACAUGCCACUCGGCGCAGUAGUGGAGGAGGACAUCUUCUGUGUGCACGGCGGCCUCAGUCCGCAGAUUGGCACGCUCGAUGAAGUGCGUGUGCUGGACCGCAAGCAGGAGGUACCACACGAGGGCCCCAUGAGCGACUUGCUUUGGUCAGACCCAGAGGACAUAGAGGGGUGGAGCGUAAGCCAGCGCGGCGCGGGUUUUGUCUUUGGUGGCGAUGUCGCCAAGAACUUCAAUCACCGAAACGGUCUCAGUCUCAUUGCACGUGCGCACCAGCUGGUGCUGGAGGGGUACAAGUCGAUGUUUGAUAGCAACUGCUGCACGGUGUGGUCAGCCCCAAACUACUGCUACCGGUGUGGUAAUGUCGCCUCUAUCCUCGAGGUGGGCGAGCACUCCAAGACGGAUCGAAACGUCGUGUAUUUCACCGCAGCCACCGCUGAUGUGCGCGGCCAUCUCGCGAAGCAGCCCCCACCCGAGUACUUCCUGUGAUUGGGCACGAAAGACGAUGGGGUGUUAGUCAAGGUGCUUGAGAGGUCGCUGGCGUCGGGCGAACGCGCUGGCGUGCGUGUCUGUAUAACGUGUGUGGUAACUUGUCCGUUUGUUCACCACUUGGUAGUGGUGGUGCGAGCCUCCGCGAUGCUGUCGCAUGCCCUCUCUUUGCCUUGCGUGCGUCCGGCUCUCUCUCCUUCCCUGUUACUGAUCCACAUUCCCCAUCCUUCCCCCCUCCGUUCGUUCCACCGCCGCCGCGGCAGCCGCGGCGGCGCGUCCUGUGAAGGUGCGCAUACGACGACCUCGUAGUGCGUACUUGCCAGCGUCGGGUUCGCUCGGGUCUCCAACUGGGGCGGUACACGCUUGCAAAGGGAAAGAGAAGGCGCGUGCUUCACUGAUGAGGCCGUCUCCGCCAUGCCUACGCCUGAGUAUGCGUGCGCGCUCGAGUGCACGCGCGCUCCACUUCUCUCUUGCCCAAUUUUUGGCGCUGUGUAUUGCAGCGCCUGUGGACGGGCGCUGCAGGGCUGUAUCCGUACACUUCUCUGAAGCCCCGCUUUCUCUCUGUUCUCGCCCUGUACUCGCCGUCGCACAC
rnacentral:misc_RNA from 1 species